GACGCCGGCAGAUCUGAGUCGAGCUCGCCUCCGCUCGCGACCUAACGCUGACGCCGAGCAGCUCCACCAGCCCGACGCCCCGACGCCCCGACGCCCUCGCUCGCCUGCUGCGCCCUGCCGUCGCCACCUGCGAGCUCAACCCGGCGUCGCUGCACCCGCCUGACCCACGACCAGCCGCGGUUGCUACAUCUGCUGACGCCGAGCAGCUCCACCAGCUCGACGAAGCCCGCACUCAGAUCCGACGACGCCCCUGCUCCACCCGCAACGCCGCCCGCCGGUUUCGCUGUGCUGACCCGACGCCACGGAUCCAGCGACCUGACAACCCGGGGUUGCUCUCCGUCCCGCUCGUGACCGACGCCAAGAGAUCCGAACCUCCUGCUCCGCCCGCGACGCUGCUCGCCGAUCCCGCCGUGCCGCCCGCGACGCCCCCUGCUGCCUCGCCCGCGACGCCCGCACCCAGCCAGACCCGCGACGCCGCCGCGCCGAU
rnacentral:lncRNA from 1 species